AAAAAAAGUUAGCCUUCCUCCCAUUGAUUCUAUCUUCAUUAUUAACCUUCUUCCCAUUCAUUCUCCCUUCUUUCUCUCUAUUAAUUCUUGUGAUACUAUCAGAAUGGCAGACAUAGUGCUUUCACCAGUUCUACAGGUGAUUUUUGACAGAUUAGCAUCUCCAAUCCUACAAGCGCUUGGUGACAGAUGGGAUCUCAAAGAUAACUUCCAGAAUCUACAGCAAGCCUUAUUAAUGGCACAAGCGGUUCUUGAAGAGGCAGAAGACCAACAGGUCACUAAUAAAGCCGUCAAAACUUGGCUGUUAAGACUUAAGACUGCAGCUUAUGAUGCUGAAGACCUUCUUGACAAGCUUGCAGCUCAUCUGAAGAAAUCUGAAGCACAGGAAGCACAUGUUUCUAGCUUCUUUGAUGCAAAAAAGAUUGUAUUGGAAGCAGAUGAGGUCAGAAAGAAGCUUCGGGAACUGCAAAUGGUAGCAAUGGAGGGUUCUAACUUCCAUCUUCAACAGGACAAUAUGGCAGCACCUAGUCAAUUUGAUGAGAGAGAAACAGGUUGUUUUGUUAUUGAAUCAGAAAUCUAUGGAAGAAACAAAGAUAAGAAGGAGAUAGUAAAACUGUUAUUGUCUCGUGAAGAAACCGACAGAGGAAAUUUGUCCUUUAUUCCGAUCAUUGGAAUGAGAGGACUCGGCAAGACAACUCUUGCUCAGUUCGCAUAUAAUGAUGAUGAGGUGACACAACAAUUUGAUGUUAAAAUAUGGGUUUUUGUAUCUGUUGAUUUUGAUGCAAAAAGGAUAAUAAAGGAAGCUAUUGAGUCUGUAACAAUGGAGAAAUGUGAUAGUUUGGCGAUAAAUGUGCUUCAGUCGAAGCUCUGGGCAUUGCUGCAAAGGAAAAGGUUCUUAUUUGUGUUGGAUGAUGUUUGGACAGAAGAUCAAAAGGCAUGGGACAGACUAAAGCCUCUAUUCAUGGGUGGCAUGUGUGGGAGUAAAAUCAUUAUCACUACCCGCAACAAAAAAGUUGCACUUGCAACAACCUCCCCAACUUAUCCAUACUAUUUGAAAGAACUGGACGAGGAUGAUUGCUGGAAGUUGUUCAAGCAUCAAGCUUUCCCGCAAGGAGAAGAAAUUAAGUAUCAGAACCUGGCACCUAUAGGAAAGGAGAUCAUUAAGAAAUGUGGUGGUGUUCCACUAGCGGUAAAAGCUUUGGGAAUUUUGAUGCGCUUUAAGAAACAGGAAAGGGAGUGGCUAUUUGUUCAAAACAGUGACCUCUGGAAUUUAGAUGUCUACCAUAAAGAAAUUUUACCUGCCAUGAAAUCCAGUUACCUUCUUUUACCAUCUCACCUCAAACACUGCUUUGCUUUCUGCUCAGUUUUCCCCAGAGGAUAUGAAAUCAAGAAGGAGAAACUAAUCCAAAUGUGGAUGGCAGAAGGGUUAAUUCGAUCUGAUGGAGCAAAACCGCUUGAGGACAUCGGCGAAGAGUAUUUCCAGGAUUUAAUGUGGAUGUCUUUCUUCCAAGAUUCAGGAUAUUCUGACAAUGGUGACAUAAGUGGAUACAGAAUGCACCAUAUCAUUCACGACCUGGCACAAUCUGUUGCAGGAAAUGAGUCUACUAUUCUAGAGAAAGGUCUUCCAUCAGGUAGCCUUACUCAAACUCGCCACGCUUCUGUGAUUUGUGAUUUUAAGUAUCCUAAAAUCCUUCAAGCUUUGUCUGAUGCAAAACAUUUGCGAACUCUCAUACUGUUUCCUGGAGGUGACACCAUAGAGUAUCCUGAUCAAUUGUUUGCAACUUCUUCAUUUUUGCGUGUCCUAGAUAUGAAUGCAUCUGGCCUUCAUUACCUUGUUCACUCAAUUGGUAACUGCCUGUGCUUGAGAUAUCUUGAUCUUUCAUACACGCCGAUCAGGUUCUUGCCUCAUGGUAGUGUUGAGCAACUACCAUUUUUGCAAACAUUGAAUCUUUGCGGUUGCUUUAACCUCAAGGAAUUGCCUGUUAUCGCAAAAAUGAUAAGCCUAAGACAUCUCGAUAUAACUGGAUGUGAAUCACUGACUGCCAUGUCGCCUUUUUUUGUUGCAUUGUAUGAAAAUUAUGGACGUUCCUUCAGUAGGACAGCCCAACAUGAAAAAGUCAUUAGCUCAACAUUUCUCCCUGGAUUCUCUGCUCAGCUGCAUACGUGUCCAACAAUUAUGGUUGGUGGUUUUCUAGACCUCAUGUUUCUGGGAAGGUUAAACCUUCGCGGUGAGCUAAAGAUCAUACAUUUGGAGAAUGUGAGUAAUUCAAAUGAUACAGAGAAUGCCAAUUUGAUGGAGAAAGACAACCUUGAUUCUUUAGGACUAUACUGGGGGGAGAAACAUGACAGUUCCACCCUAAACCCGAUAGAACAGCAUCAUUCAUCUGGAUCAUCAGAGCAGCACCAAACUGAUGCUAAUGCAGCAGAAGAAGUUGCCAAAGGCCUCCAUCCGCACCAAAAUUUGAAGCUACUAGUUGUGAAAGGGUAUCCAGGAAAAAGAUUUCCGCAUUGGAUGCUUCCGAAUCUAACAAAGGUUGAUUUGAGAGAUUGCCUGAAUUGCAGUUGUCUUCCUGUCCUAGGGAAUCUACUAUUUCUUAGGACACUCUUCCUGCAUGGAAUGCCUUCUCUGAAACAUAUUGGGCCAGAGUUCUAUGGUGAAGACACCAGGCAACUGUUCCCUUCACUUGAAGAGCUUGUUCUCAGUGAUUUCAUUAUUCUGCAAGAAUGGCUUGGUCCAGAUGGCAAAGAUGCAUUCCCUAAGUUGAGCAAAUUAAUUGUCAAGAAAUGUCCCAAGCUGACUUCAAUGCCAUUACUUGCCUCUCUUCAACACUUGGAAUUACGGGAGUGUAGUGCAGUUCUGUUUAAUUCCAUUAGGUGUGCAUCCUCUCUUACAGUUCUUGCUGUUGAGAAAAUACCAGACUUUUCACCCUUAUCAGGAGGGAGCAUUGUAAACAAUACUCUUCUUUCUUCUUUGGAGAUCAUAGCUUGCCCAGGGCUUUGUUUUCUGCCAUCAGAGUCGGGAAACCUCACUGCUCUGAAGUCAUUGAAAAUUCAUUGGUGUGAAGAGCUCUCCUCUUUCCGACAAGGUUUCCAGAAUCUUAAGGCUCUAGAAUUCUUAGAAAUUUGUGAUUGUCACGGUAUAAUUUCUAUACCAGAGGGGAUUGAAAGUUUGAGUUCCCUCAGAAGUUUGUCCAUAGAAAACUGUGAUAAUUUGACAUCAUUACCAUUGAGUUUGAAAAAUCUCACAUGUCUUGAGCACUUGACCAUCAUGAACUGUCCAAAGCUUGUGUCUUUGCCAGCGGACAUGCAUCAACUUUCUGCUCUUCAAAGUUUGACCAUCUUAAGCUGUCCCCAGGUUUUAUCUCUGCCUGAAGAGUUGCAAUAUAUCACAACAAUGCAUUGAGGAGUUGUGCUGGCCUAACAGCUUCGCCAGAAUGGAUUAGGUGCAUAAUCUCUCCAAAGUUGUUGGCACAGAUUUUUCCUUGGACUUUUCUAGGGCUGUACUCAAAUUUUUUGCUUAGAUUUAUCUUGAACUAGAUAUUUACACGCGCAAAUUUUUAUUUUUUUUAAUUAUUAUUGUAUAAAAUUGUGCACAAUUUUAUUUUUAAUUAUUUAUGCUUAUGGAUUUCAAAUUUAAGAAUUAUUGUUAUUUCUUUUUUGCAAUUGUAAUUUAUAAAUAUAGAUUUGUAUGAUAAUUGUGAUAUAUUA
rnacentral:misc_RNA from 1 species